UUUCCCUAAUCUCUUCAGCUCACAACUACGUACACCUAAUGGAAAAUGAAACGUCCCUGCUUCCCUAGCUAAUCUCAACGAUUCUCUACCCCUUGAAUGGAUAGAUGUUUAUUCUUCUUUGUGUUGUUGUUGUCUUCCCUAAUCUCAAGGAGAUAUUGAUAAAGGUGUCUUUUUAUUCCUCACGUUGUUGCUGCUCGAUCUGUUAGAAAUGGAGCAUUGAAGCUUUAGUUGAGAAAAUAUUCAGCUCAGCAAAGAGUUCAAGAAAGGUUGUGCAUUUGAUGGGUGGUCCGAAGGUACUUUAAACUUUCCGCUGACUUAUAAGUAUGAAGUAAACUCAGAAAAGUAUUGUGGAGAGGAUCCAAAGUCCGGGAGACCUAAUCCAGCAUGGUAUGUAGCUACUAUUAUUGUUAGUUAUAGAGCUUUAGUGGAUGUUCACUGUUUAGUCUUUGUUUGUAUAGCCUAAUAUCUUAAAAGUUUGGCUUGAUUCUAAUCUAUGAUGCGUACAUCAAAUCAAUAGAUUCUAAUCUAUUGAUAAAGUUCUAUUCUUCUUCCUCACGUUGUUGCUGCUCGAUCUGGUAGAAAUAGAAUCCAGCAAAGCUUUGCUCGAGAAAAAAUUCCAGGUGUGUUCUUUCUUCUAAUCAAGUUGUUGUUGUGCUGUUCAAAAUAGAAUCCCACACCGCUUUGCUUGGGACAAUAUUGCAGGUGAGUUAAUCUUCGAGUAAUGACUUGUAAUAUGACAACUCGUCUUAUUGGUUACAAAUAACUACUAGAAACUCCAAGAAUAAAAAUACAGAUGUGAAAGACUGAUUUUGUUGUUGUGGAAAUAUAGGUUGAAGUAGGACUAUUGAGAACCUGUUGUUGAUUGUCCUGCAGAUUUGUCUUAGUAGUUUCAUCAAUCAAGCUAGGAUUCCUACCUUGUUUUUAUGGAAUGUUUCUUUUUGCAACCUGAAACUGCUGCAAUUCUCCAUUUUUUUAUUCUGAUCUUGCUCUGUCCUACACUUGAUGUGAAAAACUCAGAUGAAUUUGAAUUGAAAACUUAGAUAAGUUUGACAUGGCAUAAGGAUAAAAGAGUUGAUGAUAGCAUAAUGAGGCACUCAGCUGAUUCAAUAACAUGGAAGUCAUUUGAUGAACUUCAUCCUUCAUUUGCGGUUAAAACUCGAAAUUUUUUACUUGGAAUUUCUAGUGAUGGAUUUCAACCAUUCCAAAAUUCUAAAACCUCACAUAGCAUUUGGCCUGUGGUUCGUAUUCCUUAUAAUUUAGCACCUUGGUUGGGUAUGAAGCAAGAAAAUUUUAUUUUGGUCAAUGCUUAUUCCGUGUCCAAAUGGUCCCGGAGAUGCAAUUGAUGCAUAUCUCCAACCUUUUAUAGAGGAAUUGAAGGAGUUGUGGGCAAUUGGUAUUGAGACAUAUGAUACAUCAAGUAAGAAAAAUUUUCAGUUGCAUGCUUCUUUAUUAUGGACCAUUAAUGACUUUCCAGCAUAUGGAAAUUUAUCGGGAUGGAGUACAAAAGGAAAAUUAGCAUGUCCAUAUUGCAAUAAAGACGCUUCCUCAACUCGAUUAACUAAGGGUAAGAAGGAGUGUUUUAUGGGUCAUCGGCAUUACCUUUCCCAAAAUCAUAAUUGGCGAAGUGAUAAGAGAUCAUUUGAUGGUACAGUGGAGAAAAGGCCUCCACCAAAAGUGUGUUCCGGCGUUGAGAUUCUUAAUCAAGUGCAAGAUCUGGAAGGGUUACAAUUAUCAAAGGAUCAUAAGAAAAGAAAGAAGAUAUCACAUGAAAGUCGAAUGGAUAAUUGGAACAAGAAAAAUAUCUUUUUUGAACUUCCAUAUUGGAAGUGUCUCUUGUUGUGACAUAAUUUGGAUGUUAUGCAUAUUGAAAAAAACAUAUGUGAUCAUAUCAUGGGGACAAUUAUGAAUGUAAAAGGAAAGACCAAGGACACAAUUAGCACUCGAUUAGACUUGCAAGAUAUGGACAUUAGGCCAGAAUUACACCCUAUCCAAAAGGGGGUGAAAAUUGAAAUACCAAAAGCAUGCUACACAUUGUCUUCCGAAUAUAAGCACAAAUUAUGCCUUUUCUUAAAGAAUCUUAAGUUCCCUGAUGGUUUUUCAUCUAAUAUUUCUCAGUGUGUGAACUUGAAAGAUCACAAGAUAUCUGGAUUGGAAAGUCAUGAUUGUCAUGUUCUCUUGCAACAUCUAUUCCCUCUUUCACUUCGUGGUAUAUUGUCAAAAGAGGUCUGUGAACCUCUUAUUGAAUUGUCUAUAUUUUUUAGUGUGCUUGGAUCAAAAGAGUUGAGAAUUUAAAACUUUGAGGAAAUUGAAUCACAAAUACCCAUAAAACUUUGUAAGUUGGAAAAGGUCUUUCCUCCUUCAUUUUUAAUGUCAUGGUACACUUACCUAUUAAUUUAGCUACUGAAGCUAAGAUUGCUGGACCAAUACAUUAUCGGUGGAUGUAUAUUGUGGAGCGAUGGUUAUACUUUUUGAAAUUUCUCAUUGGCAUGUCCAGAAGGUUGUAUUGCAGAGGGCUUCAGUGCAAAUGAAUGUAUGACUUUAUUUUCAAGGUAUUUGCAUAGAGUUGACACAAGAUUCAAUUGUCCUGAACGAAAUUAUGAUGUCGGUUUAAAACAAUCGAAUGGUGGUUUAUCUAUUUUUAGUCAACCUUGAAAAACUCUAGGAGCUAAAGAUCCAUGUGAGCUUAAAACAUAUGAACAUGAACAAGCACAUAUAUACAUAUUGAAGAACUGUGAUGAAGUCUUACCAUAUCUCAAGUAUGGAGAUUUUUAUACCAUUUCACUUAUUUUAUUUCUUUUAGGUUAGUUACUAUUUAGUAGGAUAGUUAUGGUUAACUUUAAUUUUGUAGAGAGUUUGCACAAACUCACGAGAAUGCUCAGCACUUGUCUGAUGCUGAUUGGAGCAGACAGCUUAUUGAAUGGUUUAAAGAUCAGGUUCAAGAUGAAAUCACUGUAGACUGAAACAGAGGUUGAUUCUGAUAUGAAGAGUUAUAUCAGAUAUACAUUUGUUGCGCCUAGUGCUAUUGGAAAGGGACGGGGACGAGGGCUUAAAUAAUGGGGUGAGAAAGGAAGCUUGUCGUCUAUGAGUUUAUUGCCUCAAUCAAGCGAUCUAGUUAAGAAGUACAUCAAAGAAAUUGAAACAAGAGAAGAUUCAGAGUGUUAAUCAUCUUCAAUGAAAAUGGCUGAAUUCAUUGAUAUAUAAUUAUUUUUAGCUUCUUGGUCUCCUAAAUAUUGUGCUAAUGUAUAGGUUGUAUGAUUUAUUUUUUAAGGUUGUAUAUGGAAGUGCCAAGGACAUGGACUUAAAAACUCUACCACGUUCACUAGUCAAGGAACACGAAUGAUGCAUAAGAACCCCAUGACUCCUAAGAAAGAGAAUAUGCAAAUUAGUACCUCAUCUCCUGGUAUUGAUCAAGUUAAGAAAUACAACCAAGAAGUUGAAACAAGUAACAUUUUAAAAAAAAUGUUAAUGUUUUUUUACAAAUAUCUUUUGUUUCACUUUUUUUGAUAAACUUUUAUAUAUAUGAUGUUAAUUGAAUCCAGGUGCUAUAGGAAAGGGGCUAGAGAAAAGAACUAGAUCUUUGAGCUCCUCUUUGGAAAUUUCUGAAUAUGAGGUUGAAUCUUCUACAAGAGUGCUGAUUUUGAUAAUCAGCAUAUGAAAACUCCUCCUAAAUGCACAAAAUUGGGCUCUAACAUGUCUUCUAAUCAAGAAAUGCAAAAAAUGAAAAACAUACACAAAAUUGAGUUUGAUUGCUAUAGUUUUUAUCAAAAUAUGUUGGUAUAGGUUCAUCUAAUCCUACAAAGGUAAGAAGAAUUCAAGGAAGCAACAUGUGAAAACAAGUUGCUUCACUUGAAAUUUGAGAAAAGUUGAAACUUACCUUUUACAAUAAUCGAAUGGUUGGAACAAAUAACAAUCUAUUAUCAAGGCAUUUGGGAAAAAUUGUGCGUGAUCGUAAUAUUUGUCCCUUGGGGGUAUCAUCGUGACAUGAUAUAAAGCAAGAAAAGUUGAAUCACAUGUGGGCAUACAUUGAGGUAACAAACAUACACUUGAUGUAAAACUUUUGAAUCGAUUUUACAGUUUGCUCUGAUUUUGCAGUGUUACCUGCUACAUCAAUGUUCUUGUCCAUUUAUCACCUGCUGUACAACUUUUCAAUCCACUAUACACAUGAUUCUGAUUUAUAUCUUUCAUUAAUUGAUGUUUUAAAAGUAAUGUACACUUGUUCAUAUAGCAGGUUGUACAACUUAUGAUUCCUUUUUUGUUUUGAAAAUAAUAACUCAACUGUUGUUGCAAUUUUUGUAGCACAAAUUUGAGAGUGCUGAUACGAAUGAUCAUAUAUUUGGAUAGAUGAAUGAGUUAUGAAACAAAUGGAGAGGACACUUGCAUGUAAAAUAUGUGAAGGACAAGCCUAUCCAACAGUCUCUUAGGAAUGUCCCAAGAGGAGUAGACCAAAAAGAAUGGGAAUGGUUAGUAAAGGAACAGUUUGCUUCUGAAACUUUUCAGGCAAGAAGCACUAGAAAUGCAGCAAAUCGAGCAAAGUUGAUGAUGCUUCAUCAUAUUGGUAGCAAGCCUAUUAGAGAGAUUAUUUAUCAAAAGGUAUUAUCAUAAAAUUAGUUUUCUAAAUGAAAUAUUUAUGAGGUGUGUUAUUUGACGUAUUUGACUUUGAUGUAAAGGGCGGAAAAGAUAGAAAUCCACCAGAUUUGGCAACUAUUUUCUUUGAGACUCGUAAGAAAGAUGACAAGCUUGUUGAACAUGAAGCAAUUGAAAAACAUGUGCAUUCUGUAAAUUAAAUAUGUUAAUUACUUAAAUUUGUUAUAUGUUAUAAUAGAAAAUAUCUGCGCUACGUUCAACUCGAGAAGAUAUCACAUCUUUGAAUGAAGAGAACAAAUCCUUGAAUGAGGAAAACAAAACCUUGAACAAUCGUUUGUCUACAUUAGAAGAUGCGAUGAAAGAAGUAUUGAAAAUGAGAGAAGUCUUCAAGGCUCAUCAAUCACAUGUAGCAGCUACAACAUCGUCUUUCUCAACUGAAUGACCACUACAUUUUCAGCUAACCAGGUGGAGAUGAGUUGAGGAGAGAUUACGAGACAAGACGAGGUAAGAUUUUGGAUUCUUGGCUGAAGUAUCUCAAAGUUUUCUAAUAGGUUUUUUUAUUUCUUGGAGCUUCUGUUGAUGUUUUUGUAUAUCACUUGACAAAGGCUAUUUCUGCAAGACUUUUGUUCAUACUUUAGUGAAGAUGCAAGUUUAGCAGUUUCACUAACUUGUUAUUAGUAUUUUUCUAUUAAAAUUUUGCAAAACUUUGGAUGUUAUCCAAGUAUUUUUGUUACACGAAUAUAGCGAAACUAACUUCAUAGGAGGUUAACCAAUUUAUUGUAAUUAAUCUUACUAUUAUCUCUAUCUUCCUACCCUUUCACUC